rnacentral:tRNA from 1 species
GCCCGGGUGGUGGAAUGGGUAGACACAAGGGACUUAAAAUCCCUGGUCCUUGUGACGUGCGGGUUCGAGUCCCGCCCCGGGUA